AUUCCUGCUAUGUCUCAGCUAGGUGAGCAGUGCGGCUCCUGUCCAAGGGAAUUGAGAACCAAAUUGCUUUUAUGCUCAUGAUAGUGGCCUCUGUUUUCAGUCACUUAGAUAAAUUAAGACCCAGCACAGAACAACUGUCACCAGGUUUGAAGUCACGGCUGAGACUGAAGUUACCUAGUCAUCAUGUUUUCCAAAGGGAGAAAAAUCUUCCUGAACCAAUCUGCACCCACGUGGUUUA